rnacentral:rRNA from 1 species
CACGUAGUUAGCCGGGGCUUCUUACUCAGGUACCGUCUUCUUUCUUCCCUGCUGAUAGAGCUUUACAUCACGAAUGACUUCUUCACUCACGCGGCGUCGCUGCAUCAGGGUUCCCCCCAUUGUGCAAUAUUCCCCACUGCUGCCUCCCGUAGGAGUUUGGGCCGUGUCUCAGUCCCAAUGUGGCCGUCCGCCCUCUCAGGCCGGCUACCGAUCGUCGCUUUGGUGGGCCGCUACCCCCGCAACUGGCUAAUCGGACGCGGGCCCAUCCCAUACCACCGGAGUUUUUCACACUGUACCAUGCGGUUCUGUGCGCUUAUGCGGUUUAGCAGCCGUUUCGGCUGGUAUCCCCCGGUAUGGGCAGGUUGCUCACGCGUUACUCAUCCGUCCGCCACUAAAUAAAAUCACUAGGUUCCAUUUUAUUCCCGUUCGACUUUGCAUGUGUUAGGCACGCCGCCAGCGUUCAUCCUGAGCCAGGAUCAAACUCU